AUUGAACGCUGGCGGCAGGCCUAACACAUGCAAGUCGAACGAGUGGCGGACGGGUGAGUAAUGUCUGGGAAACUGCCUGAUGGAGGGGGAUAACUACUGGAAACGGUAGCUAAUACCGCAUACCAUCAGAUGUGCCCAGAUGGGAUUAGCUUGUUGGUGGGGUAACGGCUGACCAAGGCGACGAUCCCUAGCUGGUCUGAGAGGAUGACCAGCCACACUGGAAAUGAGACACGGUCCAGAUUCCUACGGGAGGCAGCAGUGAGGAAUAUUGCACAAAGGACGGAAGCCUAAUGCAGCCAUGCCGCAUGUAUGAAGAAGGCCUUCGGGUUGUAAAAUGCUUUCAGCGGGAAGGCGUUACCCGCAGAAGAAGCACCGGCUAACUCCGUGCCAGCAGCCGCGGUAAUAC
rnacentral:rRNA from 1 species